rnacentral:lncRNA from 1 species
UACACUACGCUCUUCCGAUCUAAUAAUGUUCGAAAUAAUCUGUAACCGCGAGGUUUUGGUGAGAAUUAAUGCUACUAUCUGGGAAAAAAUACACAUCAUCGUACCACGCAAUCUAGACGAAUU